GAUGAACGCUGGCGGCGUGCCUAAUACAUGCAAGUCGAGCGAACAGACGAGGAGCUUGCUCCUCUGACGUUAGCGGCGGACGGGUGAGUAACACGUGGAUAACCUACCUAUAAGACUGGGAUAACUUCGGGAAACCGGAGCUAAUACCGGAUAAUAUAUUGAACCGCAUGGUUCAAUAGUGAAAGACGGUUUUGCUGUCACUUAUAGAUGGAUCCGCGCCGCAUUAGCUGGUUGGUAAGGUAACGGCUUACCAAGGCAACGAUGCGUAGCCGACCUGAGAGGGUGAUCGGCCACACUGGAACUGAGACACGGUCCAGACUCCUACGGGAGGCAGCAGUAGGGAAUCUUCCGCAAUGGGCGAAAGCCUGACGGAGCAACGCCGCGUGAGUGAUGAAGGUCUUCGGAUCGUAAAACUCUGUUAUUAGGGAAGAACAAAUGUGUAAGUAACUAUGCACGUCUUGACGGUAUCUAAUCAGAAAGCCACGGCUAACUACGUG
rnacentral:rRNA from 1 species